rnacentral:rRNA from 1 species
UACGGAGGGGGCUAGCGUUGUUCGGAAUUACUGGGCGUAAAGCGCACGUAGGCGGCUUUGUAAGUUAGAGGUGAAAGCCCGGGGCUCAACUCCGGAAUUGCCUUUAAAACUGCAUCGCUAGAAUUGUGGAGAGGUAAGUGGAAUUCCGAGUGUAGAGGUGAAAUUCGUAGAUAUUCGGAAGAACACCAGUGGCGAAGGCGACUUACUGGACACAUAUUGACGCUGAGGUGCGAAAGCGUGGGGAGCAAACAGG